GGGGGCGUUUCGGUUUCGACGGGAUCGCCAAGGCUCAGGCCGCACGUCGUGGUGGUCACCAACCACGUAAAUAAUAGUGGCAAACUUUAUAAUCGCCAACGAUUAUAACUACGCUGUAGCAGCUUAAUUAGCUGAACAGCCGUCUUGUCCGCCAGUUCCCACGGGGCGGUUCAGGGCGUAACGCUAGUGGGAUAGCUGAAGGAUUUCGCCUGCCGGUCCUGAUGUGAAACAAUAGAUGGGCUUUGUGGUCGUCGUCGCCCGUUUCUGCGCAUACGAUGAUUACGAGAAACACAAGCGGAAACUAAACGUGUAGAAACCUGCAGUUGAGGGUUUUCGGACAGGGGUUCAACUCCCCUCGCCUCCACCA
rnacentral:tmRNA from 2 species